CUCAAUUUGCACUGGUUCCUCCAAUUUUUGCACUGGUUCCUCCAGAUCAUUUCCGUGCAGAACCUCCGUGGGAACGGGCCGAAAGAGAUCCGGGCCUUUUCAGUUAAAGGCGCCCGGAUGCUUCCUCCGCCCAGGUUAGGACCGGUUCGGGUCAGCUGGGCGGGCUCAGGCGCCCUGACCCUCGGCAGCGACUGAGGCGUUGGAUCGCCCGGGCGGCGGCCCCAAUUAGGCAGCCCUGCGCGGCUCCCGCUCCACCUGGCCCUACCCACGGCUUCCCAGCCCAGCCUGAGAAGCGGCGCGGUCAGUAGGAGGCGAGGUUGGGCCGGGCCUGAGCACUGACCCCCGGCUGGGCUUCCACUCGCUCGGCUCGGCGGUGUCUCACCGCCCUCCUCUCAUCUCCAAUGGGCGGUGGGCUUCGGCCCUUGCGCGCCCCGGGAGAUGGUCUCCUCCUCGGCGGAAGGCGUCGGGGGCAGCAGAACGGUCGCCGGGGUCCGGUUGGGGUGGGGUGGGGGUGCUCGAGGGUAGGCCGUGCCCGCAGGUCGGUCAAGACGCAGAAGAAGGAAGGUUCCGCCGGCUGCCUUACCCCUUUGUGCUCGGCGGCGGCGCGGCUGGGAGCGAAAGGUUGCGGCUCUCUCUCCAGAAACAUGGAGUUCCCAUUUCUUGAUCUGACAGAAAAGGUGAGAUGAUCUGGUGCAACUAGGAAUUUUCUGGCCCAAUCACUUAUCUACCUCAAUUUCUACAACUGUAAAAGAGGAAUUCAAAUCAACAUUUAUAAAAGGCCAAGAUCCAUUAACUGGGCCGUUUCACCUGUGAGGGGUUGCUGAAGAAGACUCAGCCAGGUUGGCUUGGUGACUGUGCUCCCUUCGAUGACGGGUAUUCUUGGGUAUAUAAUACAGAUAGCGUUGUUAUUGCUUGAGAAUACGCGUAGUUGAGGGGAAGUUGCUUCAGCUCAGUGACAGUUUGUUCCCAUCUCUUUCUCUUCUGUCUCCUCCUUUCUUUGUCCUUCCUGUUACAUGAUCAGAAAACAAAUAUGUCUCCUGAUCCUCCUUGAAAGAGUCAAGUGGACUGACAAAGCAGCCUUUUCUUGGAUGGGCCCCACAGCUUCCUAGUACUUGUUUUUUUUCUUGCCCAGAUUUCCGAGUUUCAUGUUUAUUCUGUGAGAUUUAAGAUUUUGCUUUAUAAGUUUCCAAGUAGAGUGUGAUAGAAUAUCUCUUUCUUUUAGGUUUAUGAGAGAAAGGAUGUAUUUUGGACUUUUAAAUGAUAGGUAAAAAUGAAUAUCUAAUUUCAUCUGAAACAUACCAAACUGAGUCACACAGAAAGAAAGUCAACCCACAGAUUUCUAGUUCAGCUGGCCACAGAAGCUCAGUGAUCUUUUACAAGUUGGGCAAAUUGAUCUGGAAGUAUCUGGUACCACUUGUUUUUGUGGCAGAGGCAAGCCUGGACUGAUAACUUUUAUUUCUAAGGUUCUUCUGUUAUUGAUGAAUACAUUUUGGACAGAUUUUUUUCAUUAAUUUUUGAUAUGUCAUCUUAGCAGAUAGUGUCCUUGCUGAGGGAAAGAAAAAAGACAAUAAUCCUUAAGUCUCCAGUUUAUAUCCUUAGCUACACUUUUCUUCAGUACGUGAGGAGAACUUAUACAAAUGGGACUCCAACUUAAAGAAAGGGAGGUUUGCAAAGUAGCCAACCAAGAACUAACUUGGACCUGCAAUUCAGAUUUCAAUUCAACUUAGAAUUAAAAAAAAAUAGCAACAAGACAAGAAAGGACAGAAAAGGCAGAAAAAGUGAGGUGUGAUUCAGACAAUUAACAAUGGAGUGGAAGAUUCAUUUGUUUCUGUGAAGGGGGCACAUGUAUGUGUGCACCACUUGUGUACCUCUGUCUCUCUUCCUCUUUCUUUCUGCCUAUUAUUAUCUCGACCUCUUUCUCUCUGUGUAUAUCUAUAUAUCAAUAUGAACAAGUCCUGUAAAGAAAAUAUAUUUGAAAUUUAAAUAUGUCUUUGUUGUUGUUGUUGUUUUCAUAAUCAUGCUAGGGUUGAAGGAUAUGUUAGGGUCUCUCUCAUAAAACGUUUUGAGGCCAUAACAAUAGGAAAUUUACCAUCACUAUUACCAUUAUACUGAAACCUCAAGGUGUAAGUGCCUCUCAGGAGGUGGCAAUUCCUGCAUUUGCCCUAUGUGGCCUCUCAGGUGCCUUAUUUGACUUUUGUUCAUUCCACCCAAAUUAACAAUGCAAAUCAGACAGUGUCCUGUAUUAACUCAAGCUGAUUUUUUUAAACAGCUGGAUGCAAGUUUAGGACAGUAGUAACAUCCCCUAUUUUUUCUUUUUUUAAAAAGGGAGGCAGUGUGGUAGAAAGUUGAUGUCAGAAUCUUUCAAGACAAGGCAUUAUUAGAAGAGAUUUCCCCCUCUGCAGUAAACAACAAAGUGAAAGAGAUAUCCUGUCCGUGCAUUUUAAGGGGAGUGUUUGUGGAGACAUUUUGGAUCAACUACAUCAAUUCUCAUUAUAAUUAAUUUUAUUCAUUGUAAUUAGUUCUUGUGAUGGAUGGAAGGAAGAAAAAUGUUCUCCUUACAUACCAUAGCUGUGAAAUAAUCCUCAGUCCUCUUCUGUAAUAUCUGCCAUAUGUAUCUUCAUCUACGGUUGGGUACAUUUGCUCUUGUUACUAAGAAACACAUAGAAAGCACAUACUGAGCAGGAUAUUUUUUCCCCCCAAUGCCUUGUGUGUUCCACUUUAUGUCAUACUGAAAUGGAGCCAUCAUUAACUGAAUAUAUAUAACUGAAUAAAACUAUGAGGGGUGUUUUGGUUUUUGUAUUUAGUAAGGGUAACGGUGUGAAUAAUGGUAUUAUGCCAUUCAGAAGAUAAUGCAGGAUUGUUCUUUCAUGAAAGGAUUUCUUGAUUCAGUUUUAUGGAAAUGUAUGAUCUGACAGCUUUCCAGUUAUGGGCAGCAGAGGAAGAGAUUAUAUGCCUUAAACUUUUAUAUCAUCUAAUUGUCAUCUAGAACCCUAUUUACUAAAAUUGAAGUAAGAAUUUGACUAUGAGUCCUGAUUGUUUUUAGGAGCAAGGUGUUGAGGGCAGUUGUUCAUAGAAUGGUCCAACAUGCAAAAUAUUUAGCUGGAUAAACACUUCUUAUUCAAAGCAGUGAAAUUUAUCCAAUAAUUCCAAGGUUCAUUUAUUUGGUUUGGAUUUUAUCAUGUGCUGCUAUUAAUUGAACCAUUGACUUUAGUGGCCAAAAUAUUAUGUAAAAAAGAAUCAUAUUACUACUGAAAACAGAAGAAGAAAUAGGAUGGAGUUUAAAUGAACAUUUUAUCCUGGAUUCUCAGAGCCUUAAAAUACCCUGGGUAAGUGAAUACUUUUCUAAAUAUUUUUGUCAUUUUAAUAUAUGUCUUGAUUAUCUAAUCUCAUUAGGAUUAAAGAAAAAGGAACUGCCAUUGAUUAUUUUGAAUACAAUUACUACAGUACAGAGAGCCAAGCCAAUGAAGAAUAAUGUGCAGAGUUUCGCUGAUUCUACAUAGAGAACCGACUAGACAAGCAGAGUCUCUGUGUGUGAAUGAGAUGAUGCUCCUGAGCAUUUUGGCUCAACUGGAACCAGAUUCUGAGUAUUUUAGCAACUUUAACAGCAACUUUUAAGGCAAGGAAAACCAAUUAUUCUUAGAGGGUAACAAUGGAAGUGGUUUUUAUUAUUUUAUUAUUUAAAUAGUAAUAAUGUAGAUCUAGAAAGAAGAUACAAUAAAGUUAGUGAUCAAGAAGGGCAAAGGGCCAAAGGGGUAAUAAUAGAAAAAAAUGGAAUGAGAUUUCAUUUACAUGCAAAUACUAGAAGAAGUGCUAGGAAAGUUUGAGAACUAGAUGUUAAAUCAAGCAUAGAUUUGAAUGGAGUAACUAUGAGACAAAAAUCUAAAUCCAAAAACUUUGAAAUGUAGCAUCUGGAAAUGUGUCAGGCCAUCCUGACAACACCCAUGUCAGCACACGUGCAAGCGUGUGAUCAGUGGCAGUUUCUGCAGCCACGUCCCUAGC